rnacentral:rRNA from 1 species
AUGUAUAGAGAUAAGAGAAAAAAUGUGUUGAUUAACAUUACAAAGCAAAUUUACAAUUGCAAGCCCAUAGUGUGCUCCAAAUCUGGCUCCGCCUCUAAUCUUCAUAGUCAGACAAUAUCACCGCCAUGGCUACAACUCUAUGUAAUCAGAGAUUUCAACAGGACAAACUUGAAGAAAACAUUAUUCGGAAGAAAAGAGGAGCUUUACCAGAGAAGAAACGGGACACCGUCGUGGGCUCCUCUAGAUCGCUGUCUUCACAUCAAGGAGGAAGGAGCAGUCUGGUCGGUGCAGAAGAGUGGGGCCCUUGACACAUGCGACGGUGGCUGCUGUUAG